rnacentral:lncRNA from 1 species
GUUCAAGCAUGCAGGAGGUGAAAGAUAUGUGUGUUGCAGUCAAAGUGUGUUCUAACAUGCUGUCAAAAUAUGUUAACUUUGUAGUCUAAGUUAUUAUGUCAAAUUGGGCUUUUUGUUUAAGCUCAAUUGUUUAAGUUAGCCUAUUAGUCUAUAAAUAUAUUAUUUUCUCUCACGUUGUUGAGAGAGAGAGAGAGGGGGGGUUAAU